GGCAUUUUUCAGCCUGUGACACAGACUUGAUGUGAUUAAACAAAGGCUUUUCUCCAAAUUUAAAGCUCUUAAAAAAAAAAGCUGAAUCUAAUACUCUAACUUGUUUUUAAAUGGGAGCAGAUGCCUCUGUUUCUUGAGCUGACUUCCAGAUUCUGAGAAAUAAAUGAAGAGUGGAGGCUUGUUUUGGUAGAGGCUGAGAAAAGGAGUUGGCCAUAUUUGCCCUUCAGAACUUCGUGUCAUCCCCCAGCUCCCCAACGGCAGGGCCACAUUCUUUCACAGGACGGAGUUGGGGCAGAUUAUGGCUUCCUCUGGAUUGGAUUUCCCUUGGCUUCCCUGAGGGCAAUCCCCCGAGGAAGCACAUCCUGGAGCCAAACUCACCCAAUGAACCACAGCAACAGCUCCUAGGAGAAUGAAGAGUGUGAAUGGAUGGCCUUUUCAAAAUGAUGAGCCUGGAAGAGUUACAGACUCUGGCCCGAAAGAACCAAAGUUGAAGGUAGAGAUGUUUUAAGGAUGAGCAGAGCAGAACAACUUAGCAGUGGGAUGUUAAAGGCAACAUGAAUCAAGAUGCUGCCAGUGACCCCAGAGCCUUUUGUUUUCCUCCAAUAUUCUCAGUGCUUUAAAUAUUUAAUGAUCCUUCAACGUCUCUCUGAAUGCACUCCAAAUUAUGGAAGUCCUGGUUGAGAGUGGGGCCUGGAGCAGUUUAGAACCCUCUAAUCAAAGGCAGGUCCAUCUCUGGAGGAAGUUCCUACCUGGGGCAGAGAACAACUUAUAGCACAGUGCUCCAAAAUUUUCAGAGAACUGUGGGUAAGAUGAAUAUCAAGGUCAGGCUUAAAGUGGAGCAACAAGGGAACGGAUAUCCCAGUUAGCAAUCUGUGGCCCAGGGAGUGAGAGAACUUUAGCCUCAGCCAUUGCAUUUGUAACUGUUUGAGGAUGCAGGAGGGAGGGUCCAGGCUGGGCCUAGAGGACACUGAGACAUAUCUGGGCUUAUCUAAUGAGGUUGAGAAGUUGGUGGGCCACCAGGCUUGCUUAACGGGAGGGUAGAGAUUUUCACAUUGGAGUUUUCAUGUGGUGAUGUGUUUCCUUAGCCUCCCUGUUUUCUAGGAUACAUGGACUAAGGCAUUGGAGUGAGAUAGGAAAAGCUGGAAGGUCUCUAUGAGAUCAUGAGAGGCAGGGGUAAAGGGAUCUGCAGUAACUCAGUGUGACACAGUGUGGAACAGAAUGAUCUCUUUGCCUCUGUGGGGAGGACAGCGUGCCCUAGCACUGUGGCUGGUAGUGUUGGUGUGUCAAGGUCUGUUUCAGGUGGCACUGAAGGCUCUAUGAGCAUUGGCGGCAGAGUGGUGUGUUGGUGAAGAAGGAAAGCCCUAGAGCUCACAGCCAUCGAAGAGACACACCUAAGACAGCUCCUCACACUCCCAGAAAUGUCCUGGGGGAACUUUACAGGGGCUUCACUGGGAUGUGUGUGGGGAGGGCAAAUUUCGGUUAUUAUUUUAAUUGUUAGCCUAACCAUGUCUGCAUCAUGAUACCAUAAGCCAGGGAAACAGUUGGGUCAGAAUUAAUGGAAAUUGUUACUUUUCUCACGCGGUGAUGUUUUAAGUGCCUGCUGAACUCCAUUUCGGGCCCAUAGACUCAGGCCACGCAGGAGUGCCUCAUUUCUGACCUUAUAGAUGACUCAAGUAGGACCCUGAGAGACUGCUGAAAGCUUUCCUUCAUUUUAACUAAUUCAGCACAUAUUCUGUGGUUGCUUUCAGAGAGUAAGGCCUUGUACCAGGAACUUCCACUGUAGCCAAAUAGAAUCUGCAAGCGUGCCAUAAGAGAAAGCCUGGUGCAAGGGACAGAAGAUAGUUCCAGAAUCAAAAGACCUCUGUUUGUAUUUCAGGACAUGUUAUUUUGGGCAAAGAAUCUGAUGUCUCUGGGCUCUAGUACUCUCAACUGUGAAAUGAGAAAAUAUUUUAUGAAUGCAAAAUUGGGACAUAGAGUCUGACCAAGGUUUCCUAUGGGAGUUUCAGGUAUGAGACUCAAACUAGCUCCUAGAGAUUGGGUCUUACAAUGCUUGACUUGGGGCUACAGUUCAAGUGAAUCUAAUAGAAAUGGUUUAGGAUAUUUAAAGCAAAGAUUCCGCUAGACAAUUUUGAAUGAAUUUAGUAUAGAACCUCCCUCGUGGUGGAGUUCUGAGGAUCAAAUGAGGCAAUGAAGGUGGAGGAUAUUUUUAAAAUGUAAAGCACCAAAUAAAUAUUGACCAUUUUAAUUAUUACAUUUUACUACUCUGCAUAAAUCCAGACUUUUGCUUUGUAUUUUAACCCACGUUGCUACCUUGCAGACUUGAGACCCCAGACCUGUCUCUCAUGUUUAUGGAAGAAUCUGACUUUCUGCAGUUCCAAGCAAGCCACUUUCUUGCUUCCUCAGGCACUCAUGAUAAGCACUGAAGGGUACAAUUCUCCACCCACUUAUGUGGGGGAUCCCUUUCCAUGUGGCUUCAUCCUUUCUAUUUCUUAAGUUCAUAUGAAAUAUGGCUCAAAGAAAAGUCUAUCUGAUUCAUGGCCUUUCUCUUUUUUUAAGGUAUGAGAUUUGUUUGUAUUAUUUAAAAUGUAUUCCCUCAUUGUUGUAUACCAUGGGCCUGACCCAAAUCAAAUCAGCAGUUUCUAGGCUUUCUUGCCCAAGACUCCCCAGAUGCUCUUUCUCUGUAUUUCGGUUCUGCUCCCUUUUGCCCUGCACUUCUUUCUGUUGCUGCACUCCGUGGAGUAUCAGACACUAUCUUGGCAUGGCAAUUAGGCUAAUGGUUGGAUUGUGAUAGCCUGAGAAAGCAAUCUGGGUGUCAGGGAUGUCCAUCUAGAAAAAUGUAAGUAAGUGCAAGGAGGGAAGAAGGAAAUGAAAUUCACAGGCCAAACUUCACCAUUAUUUCUCCUUGCAAAGCAAAUAAAUAAGGCCUGAUUUCGGGAACCCAUGCUUUGGUAUAGGUUCAUAGUAGGCUCGUGGGCAACCAGAGGGACAAUACAGUUUUGGGAUAAGGUAGCGUGUAAACUAUGAUUUAAAAAAAAAAUGUAUCCUGUGGUUUUCCUCUGACUCCUCCACAGUUAACCUUCUGAAAAUAAAACCUUAGUGUUGAAA
rnacentral:lncRNA from 10 species